rnacentral:rRNA from 1 species
UGCCAGCCGCCGCGGUAAUACGGAGGGGGCUAGCGUUGUUCGGAAUUACUGGGCGUAAAGCGCACGUAGGCGGACUAUUAAGUUAGGGGUGAAAUCCCGGGGCUCAACCCCGGAACUGCCUCUAAUACUGCCAGACUUGAGAUCGGAAGAGGAAAGCGGAAUUUCUAGUGUAGAGGUGAAAUUCGUAGAUAUUAGAAGGAACAUCAGAGGCGAAGGCGGCUUUCUGGUCCGAUACUGACGCUGAGGUACGAAAGCGUGGGGAGCAAACAGGAUUAGAUA